GAUGAACGCUGGCGGCGUGCCUAACACAUGCAAGUCGAGCGGCAGCGAGGGGUGCUUGCACCCUGUCGGCGAGCGGCGGACGGCUGAGUAACGCGUGGGAACGUGCCCCAAAGUGAGGAAUAACUGCCCGAAAGGGUAGCUAAUACCGCAUAUUAUCUUCGGAUCAAAGGAUUUAUCCGCUUUGGGAGCGGCUCGCGUCGGAUUAGGUAGUUGGUGAGGUAAUGGCUCACCAAGCCGACGAUCCGUAGCUGGUCUGAGAGGAUGACCAGCCAGACUGGAACUGAGACACGGACGAGACGGCUACGGGAGGCAGCAGGGGGGAAUGGUGGAGAAGGGGGGAAAGAGUGAUGGAGACAAGGCGCGUGGGGGAAGAAGGGCUUGGGGUGGGAAAAGGCUUUUGUUCGGGAAGAAAUAAUCUGGGCGAAUACCCCGGGGGGAUGACGGGACCGGAUGAAUAAGCACCGGCUAACUACGGG
rnacentral:rRNA from 1 species